AUCGUAAGCGAGAUUUUUGUGCUUUUGCGCGGAUCAUGCAGCUAGUAAGCAGUAUUAGAUAACCUCCUUUAAAAAACCAAAGGAGAAAAAAAAAGAAAAGGAAACACACCCUUCCAGUUCAUCGUCUCCUUCUCCUUCUUCAAGCUCGCUGGCGAGAGUGCCUUAAUCCCUCGGGCCGGGGUUGCUUGCGGAUUUCUCUUCAUGCUCGCUCGCUCUCUUCGUCCUUGCUCCAAUCGCUCCUGACAUCAGCCUAUGUUCAAUCUCUCGCUGUCUUCGUUCUAGCUUGGAUCGCUGCAGCCGCUGUGUGCAAGUCGUGGGCUCAGCCAUGCUAUUCUUUCCCAAUCCUAGAUAUAUCCACCCUGAGCAUUUUGCUGGCAAGGACAGCCCGGCGGCAAUCGGGAAAGUGCUCGAGAGAGAAUGAAAGAGUAUGUGGAUAGGAACAUGACCAGGUUUAAACAGCAGCGGUUAAAGAUAGACAAGUUCAAAUUAUGCUAUUGGGAGGGGGGGGCCCGAUGGUUGGGUCGAUCUGCUCAAUAAGUGGAUAGGUAUUGCUCUUGAUAACACUGUCGAAGAGAUAAGCGUUGUCCAUGACAACUGACAACUUUCGCCGACGUAGUUCAUUGCAGAAACAGCUGUUCUUUCCUUGAAACUAGAGGGUCCGGGCUUGCAUCUUUCCUGCUUGCAGAAUGCAUCAAUGAACCUCAAGUCUGCAGUCGCUCACUCUUGAAAAUAUCCCAGUGGAUGAUCAGAUGUUGAGGAGGCUUAUGAGCGCAUGCUGCUCGCUCGAGUUUCUCUCCAUUGAAUUCCAAAAUGGCCUCAGGGAAAUCAGGGUCUCUGGUCUUCCUAAUAUCAAGACGGUGCAACUUGCUACCUCAUCUAGACUAGUCGAAAUAGAAGCCCCAAGUCUAGAAAGCUUUCACCUCAUCUGCUGUCCCCUUAGAGAUCAAUCCCAAGUGGUUACUGUGAAUCACAGUCCAUAUCUCAAGAGCCUAAGUUUUGGCUUGGGGCGUUUAAUCAAAACCGAUGAAUGGUUCAUGGAAUUCCUUUCCAGGUUCCCGGUGCUGGAAGACUUGUCUCUCUACCUCUGCUUCUCAUUGUGGAGGAUCAGAAUUUUAAAUUCCCUGAUUAAGAUAAUAGAGAUAGUGUCCUGCCCCGAAUUGGCCGACAUCAGUCUUGAGACUCCAGAGCUAUCACAUUUCUGCCUCUUGAACUCGAGAAGAGGACUGCAGCUGCCCUCCAUAAGGAUGAAGAACCCUCCUCCAUGUUACGAGUGUCAAGCCAUACUAACUUCUUUAGAGGGUGGAAUCCGAUUGGUCUUGUAAUAAGCUGAGGGAGUUCCUCGACAGCUCUCGUAAAUUUUUAUGGAAUUGACUUUGGAUGAUUUCUGUUUUCAACUUCAUCGGGAGAAUAUCAAUAACAAAUAUAAAUGGGUGGAUUCACUGGCAUGCAAUCGGGAGCAAUUAAAAGCAUGUCCUUGUUAUUCCGCAUCGACCCGACUACUCACGCUGGGGCUGCUCCCAAAAUUUGACCAAAGUUAUGUUAGUGGCUUGGUUCUGACUCCUAAUCCCACUGCUAUAGUCAUAGUUUCAAGUCUGUCGGAGGAACAUUUCUUACAGUCCUUUUGCGAGAAGAUUGCGGAAAGAGAAGCACAAACCAUCCAGCACAAUGGUUGUUGCCAUGCCAGUUGUGGGCCGAACGAACUGAAAGAUGCGAACAUUGAAGCAGUCACUGCAAGCAAGUACAAAGGACCUAUAUGGGGACACAGACACACGAUAUGGAUUGAGUGAGGCAAGAAGAAAGAGGAAAAGCAUUGUCCGCUGCCGUGCCUUUCAGGCGAAGAGAGUAGCAAAUAUACGUGAUGAAGAAACUGCUAAGUGGAGUAGUCCUUUCCUUCGUUUCCCCAUUUCUUACUUUUGUAUAUGAAGUAGCAGCGAUAAUUUUGCACAUAGUGGUAGAGAGCAAGCCACGUGCGACGCACGCGGAAUGUCAAUUGGUAGAAGUUUUUACUUAGUUUGAUUGAAGGUGUGACUUUUGAAAGCCCUAUUCAGUUGCUGAGAACAGUCCGCCGGACUGCACCUUACGACCAUCAGGAUCGUUGGUUUCAAAUGAUUUCAUGUGUGUAGCUUUGUAACCGUGACUGUCAUGGGCAGCUACUACGUAGGUGUUAUAAGGAUGUCCAUUAGCCUGAUGAAGUUGGGGUUCGUCGAGUACGUAUACAUAAGUGAGGGAAAGAGAGAUGGCAAUUGCAAAUAACCCAGCAGCUUCCAAAGAAUACAUUAUUGCCUUCCAAGAGAAUUUGUGACUAAUUUGUGAUCUUCAUUUGCACUUAUUCACUUGCGACUUCAAAUCAUCCAUCCGGUUUGUCAGUUUCUCCCAGCCUUUUUGCCAAUUGACCUCUGGCCUCAUAACAUUGACGUCCCCCCAAUCGGAGCACAUGUCAUUCCACCAGCUAUCCCGGCUUGUGCACCAAGCCCCGGGCACUCACCCGUCCCUGUGACGGUUUAGAAUAUUCUCGUCGAUCAGGUCGAGCACAGGUAUGUUCCGAUGAAACUACCUUGCAAGGGCAGCCCGCUCGGGGCCAUCUUUGGAGGGUUGUUCCAGAAACCCAAAGUCGCUGUUCACUGUAGUGAUCAUGAACUUUCAGGAGCGUUGCAGAUGACUGAAGGGAAGUCACAUCGUUGAAGAACAUAAGGAACGUCCGAGGCAAGUCGUCCCACCCGAGAAUGCAACAUUAUAAGGAAAUUUCGGCUCAGUGACCCAAGAAGAGCCCGCAUAUCAUUAAACACAAUUAAAACUGUUGUUUAAAAUGGACAGAUGGCGCUCCAUUAAAUUCUGCAAUUUUUUUUUUUUUAUCUUUGCCUAGCAUCGUUUUAAAAGUUUGAAGGGAGAUAAGAGGCUAAUUUUGUGAAAUAGUAAUGUAUGCCUCCCUUAGUUCAGAU